rnacentral:rRNA from 1 species
UACGGAGGGUGCGAGCGUUGUCCGGAAUCAUUGGGCGUAAAGGGCGCGUAGGCGGCUCAUGAAGGCUGUGGUGAAAGCCCAGGGCUCAACCCUGGAAUAGCCUUUGAUACUGGCUGUCUUGAGUGCGGGAGAGGUGUGUGGAACUCCGAGUGUAGAGGUGAAAUUCGUAGAUAUUCGGAAGAACACCAGUGGCGAAGGCGACACACUGGCCCGUAACUGACGCUGAGGCGCGAAAGCGUGGGGAGCAAACAGG